rnacentral:lncRNA from 1 species
UGGGAUAUUAAAAGCAUUUAACCUCUAUUGCUGUAGCUCUUGGAAAUAAAAAGUGAAAAAUUAUAUCGCUUUACCAAAUUUAUCGUCUUAGAUUUCUGAACGUCACUUAACAUUUAACUGUCGUUGAGGUAGCCACUUGUCUUGUUAGUCCAGGGGAUAUUGUGAUGCUUAAAGUGGCAACCGAAUGUAUCCUGGUGCUUAAUUACGCCCAUCUGGAUCCUUGCUCUGUUUUCUCUGAAACAGGAAUGCAGCGUGAAGAACAAGGAUAUAAGGAUGCUUUUGGACGGCCUGUGACAAGUUCGCCAUCAACGAAGAGCACAGUGCUGCACUUCCACUGCAGCAGUUCUAACUGUGUUCAUUUUAUCGCCAUCAAUGAAGAGCACAGUGCUGCAUUUCCUCGUAGCUGUUCCUACUGUGUUCAUUACCUGCAUCGCCUGGUCUGUUUGUGUUGUUGGUGUCUUCUGUGGUUCCACUGCUUGCUGCUCGUGGCAUUUGGGGAGGUGUCUUCUUUUGUUUGUUGAGCAGCUGUUCCAGUACUGUACUUGUGUUGCAGCCUUGUGUGGUUAUGCUGGUUGCAACUUAUGCCAUCUGCAGAAAUUGUGUAGUUCUACUGCUGUAAAAAUCUUUUGGGAAAGUGUCAGUC